rnacentral:rRNA from 1 species
GCAGGCUACCAUUCCCGUCGAGCGGAUGACAGGAGCUUNCUCCUGAAUUCAGCGGCGGACGGGUGAGUAAUGCCUAGGAAUCUGCCUGGUAGUGGGGGACAACGUUUCGAAAGGAACGCUAAUACCGCAUACGUCCUACGGGAGAAAGCAGGGGACCUUCGGGCCUUGCGCUAUCAGAUGAGCCUAGGUCGGAUUAGCUAGUUGGUGAGGUAAUGGCUCACCAAGGCGACGAUCCGUAACUGGUCUGAGAGGAUGAUCAGUCACACUGGGAACUGAGACACGGUCCAGACUCCUACGGGGAGGCAGCAGUGGGGAAUAUUGGACAAUGGGCGAAAGCCUGAUCCANCCAUGCCGCGUGUGUGAAGAANGUCUUCGGAUUGUAAAGCACUUUUAAGUUGGGGAGGAAGGGCAUUAACCUAAUACGUUAGUGUUUUGACGUUNCCGACAGAAUAAGCACCGGCUAACUCUGUGCCAGCAGCCGCGGUAAUACAGAGAGGUGCAAGCGUUAAUCGGAAUUACUGGGCGUAAAGCGCGCGUAGGUGGUUUGUUAAGUUGGAUGUGAAAGCCCCGGGCUCAACCUGGGGGAACUGCAUUCGUUUUUUGACAAGCUAGAGUAUGGUAGAGGGUGGUGGGAAUUUCCUGUGUAGCGGUGAAAUGCGUAGAUAUAGGAAGGAACACCAGUGG